rnacentral:rRNA from 1 species
UACGUAGGAUGCAAGCGUUGUCCGGAAUUAUUGGGCGUAAAGAGCGCGCAGGCGGUCUGCCAAGUCAGAUGUGAAAGAGGCCGGCUUAACCGGCAAGGGUCAUUUGAAACUGACAGACUAGAGUGCAGCAGAGGAUAGCGGAAUUCCCGGUGUAGUGGUGAAAUGCGUAGAUAUCGGGAGGAACACCAGUGGCGAAGGCGGCCAACUGGACGAGUACUGACGCUGAGACACGAAAGCGUGGGGAGCAAACAGGG